GAUGAACGCUGGCGGCGUGCCUAAUACAUGCAAGUCGAGCGAACGGACGAGAAGCUUGCUUCUCUGAUGUUAGCGGCGGACGGGUGAGUAACACGUGGAUAACCUACCUAUAAGACUGGGAUAACUUCGGGAAACCGGAGCUAAUACCGGAUGAUAUUUUGAACCGCAUGGUUCAAAAGUGAAAGACGGUCUUGCUGUCACUUUUAGAUGGAUCCGCGCUGCAUUAGCUAGUUGGUAAGGUAACGGCUUACCAAGGCAACGAUGCAUAGCCGACCUGAGAGGGUGAUCGGCCACACUGGAACUGAGACACGGUCCAGACUCCUACGGGAGGCAGCAGUAGGGAAUCUUCCGCAAUGGGCGAAAGCCUGACGGAGCAACGCCGCGUGAGUGAUGAAGGUCUUCGGAUCGUAAAACUCUGUUAUUAGGGAAGAACAUAUGUGUAAGUAACUGUGCACAUCUUGACGGUACCUAAUCAGAAAGCCACGGCUAACUACGUG
rnacentral:rRNA from 1 species